rnacentral:rRNA from 1 species
CCUACGGGAGGCAGCAGUAAGGAAUAUUGGUCAAUGGGCGCAAGCCUGAACCAGCCAUGCCGCGUGCAGGAAGACGGCCCUAUGGGUUGUAAACUGCUUUUGAACAAGAGAAAACCUCGGUACGUGUACCGAGCUGAUAGUAUUGUUAGAAUAAGCAUCGGCUAACUUCGUGCCAGCAGCCGCGGUAAGACGAAGGAUGCAAGCGUUAUCCGGAUUCAUUGGGUUUAAAGGGUGCGUAGGCGGCCUGAUAAGUCAGUGGUGAAAUCUCUCAGCUUAACUGAGAAACUGCCAUUGAUACUGUCGGGCUUGAGUACAGAUGAUGUGGGCGGAAUAUGACAUGUAGUGGUGAAAUACUUAGAUAUGUCAUAGAACACCGAUUGCGAAGGCAGCUCACAAAACUAGUAACUGACGCUGAGGCACGAAAGUAGCGGGGAUCAAACAGGAUUAGAUACCCUGGUAGUCCGCACCGUAAACGAUAGAUUACUCGUUGUUGGCAAUAUGACCGUCAGCGACCAAGCGAAAGCGAUAAGUAAUCCACCGUGGGGAGUACGCCGGCGAACGGUGAAACGUUAGAAGUAGUAGUUAGACGUUAGNGACGNGCGACGGAGACCGACGACGGGAGGGAGAGG